rnacentral:misc_RNA from 1 species
UACAGAAGCCUCGAGCGUUACCCGGAUUUACUGGGCGUAAAGGGUGUGUAGGUGGUGUGAUUAGUCGGGUGUUAAAUCUUGGGGCUCAACCCCAAGCUCGCGCUCGAAACGGUCACACUGGAGGAAGUGAGAGGUGUGCGGAACUCAAGGUGUAGGGGUGAAAUCCGUUGAUAUCUUGGGGAACACCAAAAGCGAAGGCAGCACACUGGCACUCUCCUGACACUGAAACACGAAAGCGUGGGUAGCGAAUCGG